rnacentral:rRNA from 1 species
AAGCAGGGGAUCGCAAGACCUUGCGCUUUUGGAGCGGCCGAUGCCUGAUUAGCUAGUUGGUGGGGUAAGGGCUUACCAAGGCGACGAUCAGUAGUUGGUCUGAGAGGACGACCAGCCACACUGGGACUGAGACACGGCCCAGACUCCUACGGGAGGCAGCAGUGGGGAAUUUUGGACAAUGGGCGAAAGCCUGAUCCAGCAAUGCCGCGUGAGUGAAGAAGGCCUUCGGGUUGUAAAGCUCUUUCAGUCGAGAAGAAAAGGUUGUGACUAAUAAUCACAAUUUAUGACGGUAUCGACAGAAGAAGCACCGGCUAACUACGUGCCAGCAGCCGCGGUAAUACGUAGGGUGCAAGCGUUAAUCGGAAUUACUGGGCGUAAAGGGUGCGCAGGCGGCUUUGUAAGUCAGAUGUGAAAUCCCCGGGCUUAACCUGGGAAUUGCGUUUGAAACUACAAAGCUAGAGU